GACGAACGCUGGCGGCGCGCCUAACACAUGCAAGUCGAACGAGCGAGAGAGAGCUUGCUUUCUCGAGCGAGUGGCGAACGGGUGAGUAACGCGUGAGGAACCUGCCUCAAAGAGGGGGACAACAGUUGGAAACGACUGCUAAUACCGCAUAAGCCCACGACCCGGCAUCGGGUUGAGGGAAAAGGAGCAAUCCGCUUUGAGAUGGCCUCGCGUCCGAUUAGCUAGUUGGUGAGGUAACGGCCCACCAAGGCGACGAUCGGUAGCCGGACUGAGAGGUUGAACGGCCACAUUGGGACUGAGACACGGCCCAGACUCCUACGGGAGGCAGCAGUGGGGAAUAUUGCACAAUGGGGGAAACCCUGAUGCAGCGACGCCGCGUGGAGGAAGAAGGGUCUUCGGGAUUGUAAAACUCUGUUGACGGAGAAAAAAAUGAUGGUAUCCGUUUAGAAAGCCACGGCUAACUACGUGCCAGCAGCCGCGGU
rnacentral:rRNA from 1 species